rnacentral:rRNA from 1 species
GACGAACGCUGGCGGCGUGCUUAACACAUGCCAGUCGAACGCUGAAGCUCAGCUUUUGUUGGGUGGAUGAGUGGCGAACGGGUGAGUAACACGUGAGUAACCUGCCCCCUUCUUUGGGAUAACGCCCGGAAACGGGUGCUAAUACUGGAUAUUCACUGGUCUUCGCAUGGGGGCUGGUGGAAAGGGUUUUUCUGGUGGGGGAUGGGCUCGCGGCCUAUCAGCUUGUUGGUGGGGUGAUGGCCUACCAAGGCUUUGACGGGUAGCCGGCCUGAGAGGGUGACCGGUCACAUUGGGACUGAGAUACGGCCCAGACUCCUACGGGAGGCAGCAGUGGGGAAUAUUGCACAAUGGGCGCAAGCCUGAUGCAGCGACGCCGCGUGAGGGAUGGAGGCCUUCGGGUUGUGAACCUCUUUCGCUCAUGGUCAAGCCGCAACAAUGGUUGUGGUGAGGGUAGUGGGUAAAGAAGCGCCGGCUAACUACGUG